rnacentral:rRNA from 1 species
UGUCUACGGACAUGAAGUAACCGAUACCACGCUUCCAGGAAAAGCCACUAAGCUUCAGUUUGAAUUAAACCGUACCGCAAACCGACACAGGUGGGCAGGAUGAGAAUUCUAAGGCGCUUGAGAGAACUCGGGAGAAGGAACUCGGCAAAUUGAUACCGUAACUUCGGGAGAAGGUAUGCCCUCUAAGGUUAAGGACUUGCUCCGUAAGCCCUGGAGGGUCGCAGAGAAUAGGUGGCUGCGACUGUUUAUUAAAAACACAGCACUCUGCUAACACGAAAGUGGACGUAUAGGGUGUGACGCCUGCCCGGUGCUGGAAGGUUAAUUGAAGAUGUGAGAGCAUCGGAUCGAAGCCCCAGUAAACGGCGGCCGUAACUAUAACGGUCCUAAGGUAGCGAAAUUCCUUGUCGGGUAAGUUCCGACCCGCACGAAUGGCGUAACGAUGGCCACACUGUCUCCUCCCGAGACUCAGCGAAGUUGAAGUGGUUGUGAAGAUGCAAUCUACCCGCUGCUAGACGGAAAGACCCCGUGAACCUUUACUGUAGCUUUGCAUUGGACUUUGAAGUCACUUGUGUAGGAUAGGUGGGAGGCUUUGAAGCAGAGACGCCAGUCUCUGUGGAGCCGUCCUUGAAAUACCACCCUGGUGUCUUUGAGGUUCUAACCCAGACCCGUAAUCCGGGUCGGGGACCGUGCAUGGUAGGCAGUUUGACUGGGGCGGUCUCCUCCCAAAGAGUAACGGAGGAGUUCGAAGGUUACCUAGGUCCGGUCGGAAAUCGGACUGAUAGUGCAAUGGCAAAAGGUAGCUUAACUGCGAGACCGACAAGUCGAGCAGGUGCGAAAGCAGGACAUAGUGAUCCGGUGGUUCUGUAUGGAAGGGCCAUCGCUCAACGGAUAAAAGGUACUCCGGGGAUAACAGGCUGAUUCCGCCCAAGAGUUCAUAUCGACGGCGGAGUUUGGCACCUCGAUGUCGGCUCAUCACAUCCUGGGGCUGUAGUCGGUCCCAAGGGUAUGGCUGUUCGCCAUUUAAAGUGGUACGUGAGCUGGGUUUAAAACGUCGUGAGACAGUUUGGUCCCUAUCUGCAGUGGGCGUUGGAAGUUUGACGGGGGCUGCUCCUAGUACGAGAGGACCGGAGUGGACGAACCUCUGGUGUACCGGUUGUAACGCCAGUUGCAUAGCCGGGUAGCUAAGUUCGGAAGAGAUAAGCGCUGAAAGCAUCUAAGCGCGAAACUCGCCUGAAGAUGAGACUUCCCUUGCGGUUUAACCGCACUAAAGAGUCGUUCGAGACCAGGACGUUGAUAGGUGGGGUGUGGAAGCGCGGUAACGCGUGAAGCUAACCCAUACUAAUUGCUCGUGAGGCUUGACU